UGGGGCGUGGCCAAGUGGUAAGGCAGCGGGUUUUGGUCUCGCUAUUCGGAGGUUCGAGUCCUUCCGUCCCAG
rnacentral:tRNA from 3 species